rnacentral:lncRNA from 1 species
AUCUAAUCCCAGGGAAGGAAAGGAAGCAGGAUGAUGGGAUCUGCAGAGUGAUGGGAUCUGCAGGGUGGGUUGUGGUGGGGCUACGGGUUAGUGGCCAUCAAGAGCUGCUCCUCACUUUUCCUGCAGACCCUGGAAAGCUGAGGAGCUGACGCAUGUCUCUGAGACCUGGUAAGGUUUUUGGGAGCAGGGAUUAUAUCUGCCUUGAGACCCCAGCUCGCAGCAGACUUGGCUGGCAGCUGAUGUUUCGUGUUUGGGGGAGGUGGGCGACUGGAGGGGUUUCGUUGUUAUUAAUAAGGCUCUGCUCAACAUUUCCCUCACCCCUUUAUCAGAACACCCCUCAAAACCCUGCUCUGGGUGUGGUGGAUAUCUCAAGCCAACAGUCUCCUAAUUCCAAGGGACAUUGUGACCUAAGCUAGGCCAGGCCUUGUCCCUUGCUCUAUGCCCUGGCCUCUCUCUCUAACAGGUCCCUCUCACGUGCAUGCCUUUGUGCACUCACUGCUUCCUCUUCUUGGACUGAUUUCUCCUCCUCCCGUCACCCCUCUUGCCACCUCCCUCACCCUGUGAGCUCCCACUCAAAUGUCAAGACUCAGAUCAGGAGCGACCUCCUCCAGGAAGCCUUCCCUGACCUCCAGGGAGUGUGUGAGCCUCCUCUGGUCUCCCACCGCUGCCUGAGCUUCCCCAAUUACAGCACUGACAGUGGAUCACAAUCAUCCAUUUCUAUGUCUGUGUCUUACCCUCAGAAUGGGACUGUCUCAUAUUCACCACCUCUGCCAGCACCUAGCAUAAGACUCAACACAGAGGUGCUAGUAAUACUUGUCAGUGAAACUAACUACUUCUGUUUAUCCAUUUCAGUAGACAGAUUGAAAAAAAUAAGCCCCAAGGAUCUGCCCUUCCCUAUCCCCAUGCCCAUUGCAAUGUAACUUUGAAGCUCUGCCCAUUGGAGGAUGGAGACUUUUCAUCGCCUCUAGAAUCUGAGCUGCCCAUAUGAUUUGCCUUGGGCAAUAGAAUGUGGCAGAAGUGACGUCAGGCCAGUUCUGCACCUAGGUCUUAACAAGCUUUCACUUUCUCUUGUAGAACCCUCCAAGCUCCCAUGCAAAGCCCAGGCU